AUUGAACGCUGGCGGCAUGCCUUACACAUGCAAGUCGAACGGCAGCACGGGAGCAAUCCUGGUGGCGAGUGGCGAACGGGUGAGUAAUAUAUCGGAACGUGCCCAGUCGUGGGGGAUAACGUAGCGAAAGCUACGCCAAUACCGCAUACGAUCUAGGGAUGUAAGCGGGGGAUCGCAAGACCUCGCGCGAUUGGAGCGGCGGAUAUCAGAUUAGGUAGUUGGUGGGGUAAAGGCUCACCAAGCCGACGAUCUGUAGCUGGUCUGAGAGGACGACCAGCCACACUGGGACUGAGACACGGCCCAGACUCCUACGGGAGGCAGCAGUGGGGAAUUUUGGACAAUGGGCGCAAGCCUGAUCCAGCAAUGCCGCGUGCAGGAUGAAGGCCUUCGGGUUGUAAACUGCUUUUGUACGGAGCGAAAAGGCUUCCACUAAUACUGGGGGCUCAUGACGGUACCGUAAGAAUAAGCACCGGCUAACUACGUGCCAGCAGCCGCCGCGGUAA
rnacentral:rRNA from 1 species